CAAAAAUUAUCAAAUUUAUCUAAGCUUUGAUCUCGGGCGUAUCACUGUUUUCUCAUUUAGAUCUAUUCAAAAUUUAUCCAGCUUAGCAAUCUGUUUAAUCGGCUAUCAGGUCCUUUGUUAUAGCGUUAGAUCUUGAAAAAGCUGAUUAGAUUGUUUGUAAGCUUAGCUUUGUUCAGAUCCAUACAUUCGUGGGUUUGCACAUUGUUAUAUGGCACGUAUCGGUUUUAGAUCUAGCCGUCUAGUUGCAUACCGGUAUCGGCAGCUUCUUGCCGAUUCCCUGUAGAUCGCUUUUAAUUCACGCUCUUUAUACCCGAUCUACUGUUGUUUUCUAUAUCGGCAGAGCCUUGCCAAUACGCUGCAUAAGAGUGAUUCGGAAAUCUAGCUGAUACGCUCUUGUAUUUGACGGUUUGCUGUUUUUUGUCAAUUUACAAGUCAAAUUGACUGGCACGUCUUGGUUUGAAUCAAGUGCAGUCCGAACUUGGCGUACGGGGCUCUCAAGCUUUGGUGUGUGAUCGUUUUGCGUCAACACACAAUUUGUCUAUAAUUUGCGAGAUGAAUUUUUUGAAUCUAGUUAAUCCAUGACCGGACAAUAAUUAUCAAAUACAAAUGAAAAGUGGUACAGUAUUUUACAGCUUUCCUUUUACGCAUCUAAAUAAGGGCUUUCCUGUGCAGGCAUGUGUUCUGGUUUGAUCCUGUGCUGGCGCGUGAGCAAGGGAGGCGGCCUGGCUUUUGGUGUACUCCAUCCGUUCUUAAAUAUAAGUCAUUCCAACAUUCUUGGAGAAUCAAAGUUUUUUAAGUUUGAGCAAAUUUAUACAAUAAAGUAAUAAUAUUUAUGAUAUUAAAUAUGUACCAUUAGAUUGUCCAUUAAAUAUAUUUUUAUAAUAUAUAUGUUUGGUGCCAUAAAUUUUUAUGAUCCUCUUUAAAAAUUUGGCCAAACUGAAAAAAAAUGCUCUCUAAAAAUAUUAAAAUGCCUUAUAUUUCAAUGCAGAGGGAGUAGCGAGCAGAUGGACAGCGCCGGGAAAGGGGGCGAGCACAGCAAGUCAGCGCCUUGGAGCAGCAGCGGCGCGCGAGCACAGUUGGGCCAAGCAGGGCACGGCGUGGCUGUUCGGCUUUGGGGCGGCGGCUUGGCCUGAUGAAGCCGGUGCGGCGGCGCAGCAAGCGGUCGGGCACAGCAGCAGCAUCAAGCGGCGGCGGCGGCGUGCGAGCGCUGCAGCUGCUGGUGCUAGCAGGCCACAGGGCGACUCACGCGGCCCAGCCCAGCACAGCAGCUCACGCAGCCCAGCUUCUGUGCGCGCAAGGCAGCCCAGGCGGGGCUAGCAGGCUGAACGCGGGCAGCCCUGCUUGGUGCAACCAGCCCACGUGGUGGAACUGGCCAACGCCAGGAGCAGCCCAUGGCGUGGGAAGCUUUGCAGGGGCACACGGCCAAUGCACAAAGAGAGGUGUGUCAGAUUGAAUUCAGGACAUAGGCCUUAUUCUCUUGAAGAGUUUCCAUUCACCCUCCUCCCUGGUCGACUGUCCAGUCCUUCAAUUAUUGAACCAAAGCAUUCAAGACUACAUAUUGAGACCUGUUUGAAGUUUGGUCACUGGAUUCUGCUGGUGAAAAGGGAAGACAAAGCAGGUGCCUGGAAACUGCAAGGAAAAGUGGAAAACAAGCAGCCCUUUGCAUAUCAGAUAUAUAUUUUGUUAGGUCGAUGUUUUCAAGAUAAUUUGAUGAGCAAGUUGCAUACCUUUUAAUUUAGAGGCACCAGUUUCUUCCCCAUCUAUGCAUCUGAGUGAAGACCGAACAGAUAGACAGCCAUGAAAUGCGAAGAUGAAACUCCAA